rnacentral:piRNA from 1 species
UCCAGCAGAAGUAAGAGGUUCUGAGUUGC